GCUCUUUUAGUUUAUGUAAAAUCUAAUCUUGAUGGGAUUGGGAAUUUAGAGUU
rnacentral:tRNA from 1 species